AGCCAAUAAAGAAAUCUUUUAUCAAUUUUUGCAUUAAUUCCUUGGAAGUUCAAGAAAAGAUGGAUGAAUUUUUUGAGAAACCAUGAUUAGGUACUUGAAAGUAUGGAAGAUGAAUUGUAUGGAAGUCAAUGUUGAUAGUUUUUAGAAACAAAGCUUAUGUCAAGGAUCACGCAAAUCGUAAGAAAUCCGAAACGGAAAUCCAUCGCCGAAGAGAGACACUAGCAAUACUAAAUAUCCGAUGUCAAAGAAUGCGGAAAAAAUAAGCGAUCACGAUAAUUAUGCAGAAGAAUCCGGUUCUUAUUUUUCUCUCCUCAUUCUAAAAAGCUAGUACCAAGAGAACGGUAAGCAAAAAAAACAGGAGAAGAUAAAAGGAAGAAGCAAGAACGUCGAAUCAGAGUGGGGAAAGAUCUUGACAAUACGUGGAUCGUGAAUUUUCUUUGCAAUUCAUGGAAAAGACGAUAUUUUCAAUCCAGGGAACGUAAUAAGACACUUUGGAAUAAACGCCGGGUGUAUUGAUUAUCGCGCAGCCCAGACCUAAGCUAGUGAU